AGUGCGUGCCCGUCGCUCUGCGCUCCCGCCCGCGGGAGCGGAGCAUCGCCUCCGGCCAGGAGUGUGCAUGCGUGGGGGUUAUUCUUUCCCAAUCAGCAAGGACCCCAGCACUCCUACAGUGAGAAGCGAGAAGGCUUGCUAUGCUGGACCACACAAUGGAAACAAGAUGGGCCCUGUCUCAGCAAGGGAAGAGAGAACAGACUCCCAAAGUUGUCCUCUGACCGCCACAGCCAUGCCAAGGCACACUCACCUGCACGACAAGCACACGGAAUUGGUUAAUGUUUUAAUUGGAGAGAUGGCUGAGUUGAUAAAACGCCUGAGGACCUGAGUUUGACUCCCCAGCAUCAGGAUCAAGAUGUAGAACUCUGGCUCCUCCAUCACCAAGUCUGCCUGCACGCUGCCAUGCUUCCUGCCAUGAUGAUAAUGGACUAAACCUCCGAAACGCAAUGGAAGCCCUAACUAAGAUGUUCAUGAAAACCGGUAUCAAACUUGCUGAAUACAUCUGAAGAUCUAUGUUCCAUCCUUGGAGCCCACAGUGAAAGGAGAGAACCGACUCCUGAAAGCUGACCUCUGACCUCCACCGAUGCACCGGGGCAUCCUGACACUUCCUCCUCCCGAAAGUCCUAUCC
rnacentral:lncRNA from 1 species